rnacentral:rRNA from 1 species
UGCAAGUCGAGCGGACCGACGGGAGCUUGCUCCCUUAGGUCAGCGGCGGACGGGUGAGUAACACGUGGGUAACCUGCCUGUAAGACUGGGAUAACUCCGGGAAACCGGGGCUAAUACCGGAUGCUUGAUUGAACCGCAUGGUUCAAUCAUAAAAGGUGGCUUUUAGCUACCACUUACAGAUGGACCCGCGGCGCAUUAGCUAGUUGGUGAGGUAACGGCUCACCAAGGCGACGAUGCGUAGCCGACCUGAGAGGGUGAUCGGCCACACUGGGACUGAGACACGGCCCAGACUCCUACGGGAGGCAGCAGUAGGGAAUCUUCCGCAAUGGACGAAAGUCUGACGGAGCAACGCCGCGUGAGUGAUGAAGGUUUUCGGAUCGUAAAACUCUGUUGUUAGGGAAGAACAAGUACCGUUCGAAUAGGGCGGUACCUUGACGGUACCUAACCAGAAAGCCACGGCUAA